rnacentral:tRNA from 8 species
GCCCUCGUAGCUCAGGGGAUAGAGCGUCUGCCUCCGGAGCAGAAGGCCGCAGGUUCGAAUCCUGCCGAGGGCACCA